UUUUUUUAUAUGAAAAUAUUAAAAUUUGGUUUUAAAUGUCAAUUUCAGCGUCAAAUGACAACUUAUUGUACGCCGAUUCCAAAAAUAUAAGGUUUUACAUACUUUUACAAUAAUUUGUUACAAAAAAUAGUUACUUCCGGUUUACAAAAGGUCACUUCCGGUUAGCUUUUUCAACGUCAUACUGCUUGCAACCUUAUGCAAAAAGUCUAAUAGCUUUAACAUGAAUACAUAUGAGGUAAAAGCAAAGGUCAAAAUCUAGAACGUUAAAUUAACAUAUGACCUUGAGUCAAUUUCAAGUCAUGAACCAAGGACAUCAAAUCAAAAGACUCUAGGUCUUUACUUUUAUUUGUUAUGAGUUAUAUUACCAUACGACUGAUAUUAGAUAUAAAAGGGGGAAAAACUAGCAACAAAUGUUUACGUACCCUUUCGACUAAAAUUUAUGUGUAACUACAUGUCGAGACUAACAAUUAUGUGAAAAUAUUUUGUCGAUAUCUUAUAAGAUUUCUGAAAAUAAGAGAUAACAAGCCAAAAUCAAAAAAUUAAUCAUGACCUUGACCUUUGACCUUGAUCUCAUUUUCAUUUUUUUGGACCAAUGACCUCAAAUCAAAAGACCCUAGGUCUCUAACACUUAUGGUUUUCCAGUUAAAAAUGCAUAUCACUUAUAUCAAAUAUAAAAGGGGAAAUAACUCUCAUAUGGAGUCUCCGGAUAGCUUCGGUCAAAAUAAAUCAAAUCAUCCUGAGGAUAUAACGAGCAAUUUUGGUAAAAUAAAUUUGUCGGUUUCUUAUACAGUUGCGAAUAUUAAGCGAUAACAAGAAAAACAGUGUUCGGGGAGAUAACUCUUACAUGGAUAAGAUUUUGGGUACGCGGUGUCAGUUUCAAAAGCGUAUUAAUUGUUCAAUAUCAUAUACCAUAUAUCUAAGCGACAUCUUGCGAAACAAAAAAAUUGCGAAGGAACAAAAAGUUGGCGGA
rnacentral:lncRNA from 1 species